AGUGAACGCUGGCGGUAGGCCUAACACAUGCAAGUCGAACGGCAGCACAGGAGAGCUUGCUCUCUGGGUGGCGAGUGGCGGACGGGUGAGGAAUACAUCGGAAUCUACUUUUUCGUGGGGGAUAACGUAGGGAAACUUACGCUAAUACCGCAUACGACCUACGGGUGAAAGCAGGGGACCUUCGGGCCUUGCGCGAUUGAAUGAGCCGAUGUCGGAUUAGCUAGUUGGCGGGUGAAAGGCCCACCAAGGCGACGAGCCGUCGCUGGUCUGAGAGGAGGAUCGGCCACACUGGAACUGAGACACGGUCCAGACUCCUACGGGAGGCAGCAGUGGGGAAUAUUGGACAAUGGGCGCAAGCCUGAUCCAGCCAUACCGCGUGGGUGAAGAAGGCCUUCGGGUUGUAAAGCCCCUUUGUUGGGAAAGAAAUCCAGCUGGCUAAUACCCGGUUGGGAUGACGGUACCCAAAGAAUAAGCACCGGCUAACUUCGUGCCAGCCGCCGCAGUAA
rnacentral:rRNA from 1 species